rnacentral:rRNA from 1 species
ACGAACGCUGGCGGCGUGCUUAACACAUGCCAGUCGAACGGAAAGGCCCCUUUGGGGGUACUCGAGUGGCGAACGGGUGAGUAACACGUGAGUAACCUGCCCUUGACUUCGGGAUAACUUCAGGAAACUGGGGCUAAUACCGGAUAGGAAUCCUUGCUGCAUGGUGGGGGUUGGAAAGCUUCGGCGGUUUUGGAUGGACUCGCGGCUUAUCAGCUUGUUGGUGGGGUAGUGGCUUACCAAGGCUUUGACGGGUAGCCGGCCUGAGAGGGCGACCGGCCACAUUGGGACUGAGAUACGGCCCAGACUCCUACGGGAGGCAGCAGUGGGGAAUAUUGCACAAUGGGCGGAAGCCUGAUGCAGCAACGCCGCGUGCGGGAUGACGGCCUUCGGGUUGUAAACCGCUUUCAGCAGGGGCGAAGCUUGUGGUGACGGUACCUGCAGAAGAAGCACCGGCUAACUACGU